GCUACUUGGAAAGAAAAACAAGUUGACAAAAAGAUUGAAUGCAAGAUUUGGUAAUAAUAUAGUAUAACGAGAGAUUUAUGAGCUAUUAAAAUUUUAAAAACCUUUUAACCAGGAAAUAAAUUGCCACCUGUCUGUUGACACACACACACACACACACACACACACACACACUCACACAGACUCUCGCACACACAGACUCUCGCUCACACAGACUCUCGCUCACACAGACUCUCGCUCACACAGACACACAGACUCUCGCUCACACAGACUCUCGCUCACACAGACACACAGACUCUCGCUCACACAGACUCUCGCUCACACAGACUCUCACACACACAGACUCUCGCACACAGACUCUCACUCUCACACAGACUCACUCUCACACAGACUCACACACACACACUCUCACUUACACAGACUCACACACAGACUCUCACUCACACAGACUCACACACAGACGCUCACUCACACAGACUCACAGACUCUCACUCACUCACACACAGACUCUCACUCUCACACAGACUCACUCUCACACAGACUCACACACAGACGCUCACUCACACAGACUCACAGACUCUCACUCACACAGACUCACACACAGACUCUCACUCUCACACAGACUCACUCUCACACAGACUCACACACACACACUCUCACUUACACAGACUCACACACAGACUCUCACUCACACAGACUCACACACAGACGCUCACUCACACAGACUCACAGACUCUCACUCACUCACACACAGACUCUCACUCACACAGACUCACAGACACACUCUCACAGACUCACACACAGACUCUCACUCUCACUCACUCACACACAGACUCACACACUGACUCUCACUCACACAGACUCACACAGACUCACUCACACACAGACUCUCACUCACACACAGACUCACACAGACUCUCACUCACACACAGACUCACACACAGACUCUCUCACUCACUCACACACAGACUCUCACUCACUCACACAGACUCUCACUCACACAGACUCACACACAGACUCUCACUCUCACACAGACUCACACAC
rnacentral:lncRNA from 1 species